AGAGUUUGAUCCUGGCUCAGAACGAACGCUGGCGGCAGGCUUAACACAUGCAAGUCGAACGCCCCGCAAGGGGAGUGGCAGACGGGUGAGUAACGCGUGGGAACAUACCCUUUCCUGCGGAAUAGCUCCGGGAAACUGGAAUUAAUACCGCAUACGCCCUACGGGGGAAAGAUUUAUCGGGGAAGGAUUGGCCCGCGUUGGAUUAGCUAGUUGGUGGGGUAAAGGCCUACCAAGGCGACGAUCCAUAGCUGGUCUGAGAGGAUGAUCAGCCACAUUGGGACUGAGACACGGCCCAAACUCCUACGGGAGGCAGCAGUGGGGAAUAUUGGACAAUGGGCGCAAGCCUGAUCCAGCCAUGCCGCGUGAGUGAUGAAGGCCUUAGGGUUGUAAAGCUCUUUCACCGGAGAAGAUAAUGACGGUAUCCGGAGAAGAAGCCCCGGCUAACUUCGUGCCAGCAGCCGCGGUAAUACGAAGGGGGCUAGCGUUGUUCGGAGUUACUGGGCGUAAAGCGCACGUAGGCGGAUAUUUAAGUCAGGGGUGAAAUCCCAGAGCUCAACUCUGGAACUGCCUUUGAUACUGGGUAUCUUGAGUAUGGAAGAGGUAAGUGGAAUUCCGAGUGUAGAGGUGAAAUUCGUAGAUAUUCGGAGGAACACCAGUGGCGAAGGCGGCUUACUGGUCCAUUACUGACGCUGAGGUGCGA
rnacentral:rRNA from 1 species